CUGCAUUGCCUCACCUACCUAACUACAAACAGACUUCAGUAGGGUACUUGUUUAUGCCCUCAGCCUACAGUCCUAUGUAGAUAUUAGAGUUGAGUGAGCUUUUCAACUCGCUCGGCUGGCAGAACUUUUCAAAAAAAAGUUUGGUUUGCGGCAAACAGGAAUACUGGUCAGACCUGGCUAAUCGUCAGACUCUUCCUCCACCUGAGAUGACCAAGAAUGAGCCAACCAGUCCACAAUGGCCGUAUUAUGCUCCAAAAUCACACAACAAUUGGAAGACAUGCAUAACUUUUGCUUGCUGAUGCUGCUGUUACUACAUAUCACAAAGACGGAUUAACAAUUUCAUUUUAUUGGAGUUGUUAUGGAUGUGCCAACACCAUAUGUGUAUUUUUUUCUGUCUACACUACACAACUGCAGCAAACAACUUUCACCUUCAUGCCUGCAACCUGUCUGUAUGAAGCUACAAUAAAGAAGCCCCUGAUUGAACAUACCUGGUGUCUUCUUAUAGCUUGUAAUCAAUUCAAGGCUUUUAAAUCCUGGAUAAAUAGUGGAUGGGAAUGGUUGAUCAGGACAGAUGUUUAUGGCUUUCAAGACGGAGCUAUCAUUUGGUUGGAUGC